rnacentral:rRNA from 1 species
AAUGAACGCUGGCGGUAUGCCUAACACAUGCAAGUCGAACGACAGCACAGUAAGAUCUUGCUCUUACGGGUGGCGAGUGGCGGACGGGUGACGAAUACAUCGGAUUCUACUUUUUCGUGGGUGAUAACGUAGGGAAACUUCCGCUAAUACCGCAUACGACCUACGGGUGAAAGCAGGAGUUCUUCGGACCUUUCGCGAUUGAAUGAGCCGAUGUCGGAUUAGCUAGUUGGCUGGGUAAAGGCCCACCAAGGCGACGAUGCGUAGCUGGUCUGAGAGGAUGAUCAGCCACACUGGAACUGAGACACGGUCCAGACUCCUACGGGAGGCAGCAGUAGGGAAUCUUGGGCAAUGGGCGAAAGCCUGAUCGAGCAAUACCGCGUGAGUGAAGAAGGCCUUCGGGUUGUAAAGCCCUGUUGUUGGGAAAGAAAAGCAGCAGGUUAAUACCCGGCUGUUCUGACGGUACCCAAAGAAUAAGCACCGGCUAACUUCGUG